rnacentral:rRNA from 1 species
UACGUAGGUCCCGAGCGUUGUCCGGAUUUAUUGGGCGUAAAGCGAGCGCAGGUGGUUUAUUAAGUCUGGUGUAAAAGGCAGUGGCUCAACCAUUGUAUGCAUUGGAAACUGGUAGACUUGAGUGCAGGAGAGGAGGGUGGAAUUCCAUGUGUAGCGGUGAAAUGCGUAGAUAUAUGGAGGAACACCGGUGGCGAAAGCGGCUCUCUAGCCUGUAACUGACACUGAGGCUCGAAAGCGUGGGGAGCAAACAGG